CUAAUUAUAUCACAGGUGGACAAGCUAAACAACACAUCCUCUCAAGUCUUGACACUCUGUAUGGGUGUGUUCUUUAUUCAAAAAUAGACACACCAUUACUGGACUAAUGAUCAGUCGACAUAGCGACAGGAAUUACAUACUGUAGCUGUACUGGAACAUCAGAAUCCAAUAGCCAUUACAUACACUUGUAAAGGUUUAUAAACACACAUUGGGAAAGUUAUGUAAAAACAGAGACUCUGAUGACAGCUGAUUUUGCAGACCCAGACUGACUGAGCAGCAAUAUUUCAGACGACUUAAAGUCGAGGGGAAUUUUAGAGGGGAAAUCAUGUGGAAGUAGAGUUGGUUGGACCUGUUUUCACAAAUACGAUUUUGAAAUUCCCAUGUUUAAAUAACUUAAUCUAAUGACAUCUGGGUUCUGAACAACAGGUGAAAAUGAAAGGAAAUUGGAAUAUUGUGAUUAUGUGUGUGUGUAACCCACACAGGAAAUAAUCUCUCUCUCUCUCUCACACACACACACACACACACACACACACACACACGCACACACACACACACAAUUUAGAGAUGUCGAUCAGCCUACAGCAACUUUUGAUUCAGGGAGAAAACAAGAGAAUCGUGAUCACAUGAAGCAAAGGGAGACUCCUGGGAUCAAAAUAAAAAACAAAAAAAUGUUAUAGGCUUGUAAAAGAGGUGAGAAUUUCAGUGGAUUUGGGCAAGCGUUAUUACUGAGUACAGCCUAGUUACAAGUUACGGUUAUGUGACCUACUAAUGAUUAAGCCCUACACCUUGAACUGAUAAUAAAGAAUCCAUUUUGUAGUAAAAUGAGGGAUGUGUAGAAGGUAUGGAAUUUUUAGUGUGACAUCAUCUACACAUUACUUAACAGUCUAUGUCUGAAAAUCUUAUCACUCAGAAAACAGAACAGCUCACAGGACACCCCAUUCUUAUCAGCAGAGAGCAAAAGGGACGGUUUAUUAAGUUCAUUUUGGCUUUCAACACUCAUUUGUGACUUCAGCUUGAUUGGAAUGAAAACCUGCACUCAGAUACUAUUGGACACUUUUUUUUUCGUAUAUGUCAUGACCUCCACUUCAGGUGUCAUUUUACCUAAGGAUCCAGUUGAAGAUUUCCUCUUCUGUUUCUGACCUCUCUGCAACUGACUGGACGAUGACCCUGGCCUGCGUGAUGCUGUUUGUCUCUCACUGCCUAGGUGCUGCAAUUAAAUAGCCGAGUCAAAAUGAUUAUAUACAUGGUAUAAAAGUUAAUAAAAGCAAGUUACACAAGUGA